AUGCACAGGGCGAUGGGAGGACCAAGAGUUCACGCCUGGGCGUUGUUCCCCGGGGCACCUCUACGACAUGGUUGCCAGAACUCUCGAGAGCUAGGGGGUACAUUUCAUUCAUCUAAUUACUGGUGUGGGUCUGUCUACAUGCAUUGCGACAACAAUGUCCUCGUGAUCCUACGCCCCUCGAAAGGGACUUAUGAUAUGGUCGAGCUUCCCGAGGAACCUUGCGGUGCAAGAAGCGGGCUCUCGCUGCCCAAAGAUUCCGUCAUAGCAAGCUAUGAGAGAGGGGUACAUUAUGUGGCGACUAACAAUUCGCAGCUUCGAGUUUGGAUGCUAAACGAAUUGACCGGUGGACAGCUAGGUUGGACACUGUCGCACGACACCAACCUCAACCUGCAUGGCGAUAUGAUUCGCACUCUUAAAAUACAACCAAAGGUGACAUGGAGGAUUGUUGGAAGCAGAGGUGGUCCAGUCAGCUUGACCGACGAAGACGCUGAUGACGACUGGGCCAGAUCAUAUGACUCUGAACAUUCCUGGAACUCGGAUGAGGACAACUUCAUCGACAUGAUUGGAGGCGCCGACCACGACCAGUCGGUAGAACGAGGUGCCUAUUGCAGUAUCGUGGGAUUUCAUCCGCACAAGAAUGCACUCAUCCUCAUUCUUAGCAGCGCGGUGGUAGUGUACCAUCUCGAGACGUCAAGGAUGCAAUAUCUAGGAGAUGCGGAUGAGCUCGAUAAAGACCACACGCAAGUAGCUUGUUGUGUCGACGAUUCGUUCAUUUACCGACCUUGCUAUAAGGAUAUGCUCCCAACAGGGAAAUUAUGCAUGCCACCUUAA
rnacentral:rRNA from 1 species